rnacentral:rRNA from 1 species
UACGUCACCCUCUGCCACGUCGUGAACCUGGAGGCGGUGCGGCCGCCGGCGGCGCCCCGGCCGCGGGGGCGCGCGGGCGUUAAACUACGAAACUGACCUUCGUUCUAUCGAAACCAACUGGAACCUCGAGCACAACAAGCAUACCGUAUAUCGGGAUGGAGAUCGGUACAAUAGUAACGAUAGGAACUCCUACGAUGUUAGUCUAGUACACUAAAGCGAUGGCUCGUCUGCGAACACGACGUGAGUGGACUCUUUUUUUGUCUGGUGCAAAGUUAUCUGUGUCUUCAAGUAGAACGCAACUGUGGAGAACUUGGAUAGCAAAAGAAGCCAAAAGUGUUUUCUUACUCACACUGUCAACAACCCUGACAACUUCCACCCUCCGGUGGUUGUUUUUAUUUCUGACUAGAAUUUUUUGGGUAACAGUUGGACCGAACGGUAGGAGCGGAAGGACACAAGAUACAUCGAAUACGACUUCCGAACCAUGCGCGGAUGUUGCAGGUCUGUAUACGACAAGUGAUGUGCAAUGUUGAAGGCCAACUGUCAUGUUAAUUCGAGUACCCUCGACCACGAAAACCCAAAGUAGGCUGGAAUCUCACCCAUAAAUAACCACUAUCUCCCCCGUGAGAGGACCGUACCCUACAUAGUUGACUCUCCGGUUUGUACUAACCCUAAUGUGUCCGACCAAGGGUCGGUUAGUGUAGACAAAGGACCGAAGGAUGUGAUUUCGACGAGCACUGUUAAAGCUUCCUACCCCCAGAAGUUCAUACCUUCUGUGCUCAAUAAUAAUUAUUGUUAUCUGUUGGUUACCUUUGAGUAAAGAAACUCGCACGACGGUAACUUUGUUACCUGUAGUGUUUCUAUGAGUGAGAAGUUCCACCACUUCGUCACAUGGGAAACGGAGCUUAUUUCUUAAACCGUCACGUAGGUUUCAAGUUAAACCGACGUCACUAAAAAGUUCUAUACAGACGCUGUCUUCGACGUUUCUUGUUCCGACGUAUGUGUUCCCUUCCUUCCUCCGUCGAAAAACGACAUGAUGUCCCCCGAUCCCCCAGUUGACGACGACAAAAUUUCCUCUUUGAAAAUCGGGACCCAAGUAGGCCUUAAAAUCGUCUCGUGGUUGAGGUCCGCGUCGAAGUUCUCGUCGUGAACUUCCCGGUCUCGUUCGAUUGAUAGAGUCUACAACGUUCCUUCCGAAAGGAAGUGUCAGUAAAGUACCUCCCUGUACGAUUUUCACCAGGUUAGAGAGCAAAUGGGGAACAAUGAUAAAGUCUAGGAUCGUUGGAAAACGCUCUAUAAGGACAAACAGUCGGUAAGGUAGACCUCAACUUGAAGAAGUUGGUCCUCUUGGCACACCAAGUCAUAGGUCAAUCUCGAAAGAUGAACCUACCUAAAUUGGACUACCGGGUAUUGGAUAGUAGACCUCGGCUAUUAGAGAUAUUCUUCGAAAUGAGUUGCUAAGGGAGUUUAUACCUUACGGUGGGGUUCAUAUAAAGUAUAUCGGGUUUCGUCGUAUACAAAGAUCAACACAAACUUAAUUCACCAGGUUCACCUCACCACGUACUUCAACAAGAAAUGACCCUCGUCUGACUAAACGUCUGUCAUUUGUCGUUUCCUUCAAGUUAUUUUCCAGCUCUACGAUGAAAAAACCCCGGCCUACUAUUAGUUAUACGAUAAGACCUCCUUCUGUCUUGAUCGGACUUAGAAAUAUUAGAGUUUGGUUAUCGGUGCUUCCUUCGAGAACUUUUAUUACGACGGCACGAGCUUCUUCUUCUUUUGUGUAAACGACUCUUAGGAUGACGAUUAGGUUGUGUUUUCGUUCCAGGAUACGUCAAAUGAAAACUUAGGCUCCAGCUAGCGUAUAAAAGUAGAGGUGUUCUUAGUAGGAACAACAUACACUAGAGCCCUUUUGUAUAACCUGACCGCUUCGAGGACUGACCAAUAUCCAAUAGAUGUCUGUUACCCGAUAGAUAAUGGUGUUUUUGACUACCCUUCUUCAAAUAGUUCAAUUUCGGUUUGCUUUGACAAGAAGUCCAGGUGACCGUCUGUUGAAACUCUCCAGGACAACGGCCUUAUAACUGUUUGGUUUCCCAUGAUUAGCGGAGACGACUAGAACUAUAUGAAAGUUCGUCGAGUUGGUUUAUACUAGCACCAGAGGGUAGUAUAGCCAGUUACAACACCCAACCUGGUCGCGAGUAGAAGAGUUCACGUUGACGUUAUUCAUACGAACCUACCCUGUUGUUUCAAGCUAGUUAGGAAAGGUGAUCGAAGGGAGCAAGACACAACGAACCACGGAACUUGCUGGCAGACGACGAACACUUAGGUUGUCUAUAUUUAGGUUCUGUCUUUUUCCCACACCUUUAUUCUUCGACAGAUCAACCAGAAGAACUUGGAGAAGAAUAACCAAAACGAUGGUACGUCGUUGUGAAAUGUGUUUUUUAGCUAGAAAGUCUUCACGAUAUGGUUUAUUGUAGCUCCAAACUAUCAGACGCACAAUGAGGCUUCAGGGACCUGUAUAAUAGAUUCCCUGGGGGACAGACACCUCUGGAACGACAUAGUAAUAGAGUUCGUCCUGGAGUCAAAUGUGUUUAGUACGCGACGUUAAUGCGGUAGUUUCGAGAGGCCAAGAGACGACGAAAUAGCUAAAACUUUCUGCUCAAAGACGCAAGGUCUCUAAUAGGAGUCACGGGAGGGUGAAGAGUAGACAAGGUCGCAAAGGCUCUCAACCCGAUGCGUACGUAAUUCAUACCAGUCAAACUGUCACGCUUUCUUUGUAAACUCCGAUAACGUCUAGUACUUUCGUACGACCUAGACAAAUAUACAGUGGACUUGGGAUCACGGGACGCUGCGGAACGUGUUUUCAACCUCCUUAGACCAUGUCUAGGACUCGACUCUGCAAUAGAUCUUUCUUAUGACUCUCAAGCAAGUUGACCUACCUGCGUUCCACAGAAACGGUUAAAACGACGACUUUCAUACCACGGAUUUCCGGGCCUUACCCGUCCUCCCUUGACCCUCUAGUUUUGUGGAUGGUCGUACUUCUCAUAAGGAGUCACCCUCGAACGUCCUCUCCACUACGGGAUGUACUCUUGUUGACUACGACGGUAGGGUAGACAAUAACGUCUAGUAUAGCCACAAAUGAACCCACACUACUUCCCGGCCCCAUUGCAUCACCUUCAUUCGCUUUUCUCGAACCAAUUUCGAUACCGCCGCCGGUCAUCACUCUUACCCGUUGGCCGUAGAAGACUUAACCGUGACUUUUUGUUUCGUUUACGACGACCACUAAGUCAACCACUAUCAGACCGGUCCGUCGAUCCCCAAGUUUAACGAAGACGUCUACUUGUCCGGUUUCGUCGUCUCCUCAAAUUUUUCUGAGACAUACCACAACAACUACGACCUUCGUCACUACUCCUGCUCAGUUGCAGUUUCUGAUUUUCCUAUGUUUAGUCCUAUGCACUAUUCGGGCGACGUGGACGACAACUACAAUUGUUUGACUUUCUCCGGUGCUUUGUCGAUCCAAACUACCGAGGAGGCUAGUCAUCCUGUUCCAGCAGACCUUGUGGUGUUCUUAAGUCAGUCGGUCGUCCGGGUCGUGGUAGACGACGAGGUCGUUACGGCUCACCGCGUCAGCUAAAGAAACCUUGUUUACGAAACCACCGUGGUGGUGUUCGCGGCUGACCGCCGUGCCCAGGACAUUAGCCUCCGGACCCUCACUGUCGACCUGGAUAAGGACUCCUGAAGAAGGUCUUGUGGCAAGGUAGUGUCGUUGAACGCUUAGCUGACGGAGGAGGUCCUCGUUAGGACGUUUCUUACCGGUUAGGACUCAGACCCUACUUGCAGCCGUCUGGCCAUGGAUGAGUUUUGUACUACCCGUUACAACCAGAAGGUCUACCACCCCACGGCGGUGUCCCCGGUGUCGUUCCGGUCAAGGGAGUCGUUGUUCCGGUCAAGGGAGUCGUCGUUCCGUAAGGAUACUUGGGUUAACCGGAUGGACUACCACCACAUGGAGGUGUCUCGGUCCGAGAAGGAAGUGUCGGUGUCCCGAAAGUUGGACGACGAGGAUGAGGAAGCGUUGGUUAACUAGAGUCACGAGAGCUCCCAGGUCCUCGCCGUUUCGUUCGACGAGUCGGGGGUCGCGGAUUUCGGCACGCAGGACCGGUCCAUGGGGCACCGCGAGGACGACGUCUUACGAUGUCCUACCCAGAACGUGUAGAACUCGUCUUAGUCGAGUGCCUACGUGAUUUAACAAACCUACUUCGUAAGAACCGGGAGCGGUUCCUGGUUAGUGCACUUCGGCUGUAGUUUCGCGUCCGAUGGUAAACACGCGUCAUGUUCUAGCGGCAAAGUAACGAUGUCCUUUAGCGAGCCGACGUUUCUCAGGUCCCUCGACCGUGCGACUCGCGGUUCCUCCUCUACCCGUCCGACAGAGCCGUAGACCGCAGGGACGGGUAGGUCCGGUUCGUGGCCUAGUUGACGUAGGCCUGGCGGUAGUUCGCGUUGUACCUCCAGGUCUUAAAGCGGAUACGGUUCGUCUACGACCUGGACGAGAUGAGGUUCCGCGGCGGCUGGUUUGUCCUACUCGAGUUCUCGGAGUAGCUGUACACGCAGGUCGCCCCCGACUGGUUGUUCAGGUAGCUGGGCAAGCUCCUGGGGAGCGUCAAGACACGGCAGUGGGAGUCGGCGGAGAGGUGGUAGCCGGUACUACAAACGCUGGAGACGCCGCGGUUCAAGAGCCGGGAGAGUCGGGGUCCGACGCAGUAGACGCCGUACCCGUCGUAGUUCGCCAGGCUGCGGGAGCGGCCGCGACCGGGACAGCGGAGCGGGAAACCGAUUCAAAACGCGCACUGCCCAAGACAAGACAAACGGGCUCGGAGACAAAGAACAUACAUAAUCACACGUCAGUUGUAAGAAACAAAACACGACCCAACGACAACGUCAACACCAUUAUCGGAACCUCUAUGGUAAAACAACACUAAUUAAAGAGAUAUACUAAGAUGUCUUGUAUGUAUCCCGAACAGGAUCGUCUAUCGCUAGGUACAUGGAUCUUCGAGAUGGGUACCGUAAACGUUAUAAAAACGACAAGAAAACAAAAAACUUUCAAGUUCAAUAAACGUUACAAAACACCAUCUUCGAGAUGAGUGCCGUAAACGUUAUAAAAACGAGAAGAAAACAAAAAACUUUCAAGUUAAAUAAACGUUACAAAACACC